UAGUGAAGUAGAUUUUGGGUUAGGAUGUUACAUGAUGUCCCUAAACGCACCACUGACAUCCACACCUUUCAGCCGACAAUUACCUGGCUAUAAGAAACAGCUGCGCUUCACUACUGAGAGAAGGCAUUUGGCGGUCUUGGCAAUCUAAGGUGGCUGCAGCACUAGGCAGUUGAGCUCCACAUAUCUCUUAAGGAAAGCUACUCAGUUGCCCUUAGAGAGUGGUGUGCAUUAGACUGCUGCUGUCUUGCCAGAUGCUGUUUUGUUUGUUAUGCACUACUUUUAUAACGUAUAGUGAUUUGGGAUGUGGUUUUAUGUAGAUCUUUUAUUGAUUGUUUAACGUUUUAUCUUUUCUUUUAUUGCUUUAGUGGAGGUGCGGCCGCUUGUUUAGAGGCUAGGCACGUGAGGUGGAAUCCCCUCCCCGAUGCAUGCGAGUGUACACACCGGGCAUAGGCAGAUUGCACCAUUUAGAGUUUAGUGUGAGUGAGGUUUGCUGUGAAAUCACACGGGUGAGUAAUUGGUGGCACCCUUGGGCACUCCUCCCUGUAGGUUGCCUCCUCAAGUGGCCGGUCUCCACCAUUUUGUCUAGUUGCCUCUUUUAACAUAUUGUGCUUGUUUUAGUGUAGCAUUGUGGUAGGGAGUAUGUCGUUUUAAUCAUUGUUCGGUAAUAAAGUGUUUUAAUUAUUUUACUCUCUUACCCCUGCUACCCUAGGUGCCUUUUUAAUCUUUUAGUUAUGUUUUAGUAGUUCCUCUAAAUAAACUUUUGAAUUAUAAA